rnacentral:rRNA from 1 species
AGCAGCCGCGGUAAUUCCAGCUCCAAUAGCGUAUAUUAAAGUUGCUGCAGUUAAAAAGCUCGUAGUUGAAUUUCGGGACCAUCAUGUCGGUCGUGCCUCGGUACGUACUGGCAUUGUUGGUUUCUACCUUCUGACGAACCAUGAUGUCAUUAAUUUGAUGUCAUGGGGAAUCAGGACUGUUACUUUGAAAAAAUUGAGUGUUUAAAGCAGGCUCGCGCUUGAAUACAUUAGCAUGGAAUAAUGAAAUAGGACAUUUGAUUCUAUUUUGUUGGUUUCUAGGAUCGAUGUAAUGAUUAAUAGGGAUAGUUGGGGGCAUUAGUAUUCAAUUGUCAGAGGUGAAAUUCUUGGAUUUAUUGAAGACUAACUACUGCGAAAGCAUUUGCCAAGGAUGUUUUCAUUAAUCAAGAACGAAAGUUAGGGGAUCGAAGACGAUCAGAUACCGUCGUAGUCUUAACCAUAAACUA